rnacentral:rRNA from 1 species
UUUUAUGGAGAGUUUGAUCCUGGCUCAGGAUGAACGCUGGCGGCGUGCCUAAUACAUGCAAGUCGAGCGAACGGACGAGAAGCUUGCUUCUCUGAUGUUAGCGGCGGACGGGUGAGUAACACGUGGAUAACCUACCUAUAAGACUGGGAUAACUUCGGGAAACCGGAGCUAAUACCGGAUAAUAUUUUGAACCGCAUGGUUCAAAAGUAAAAGACGGUCUUGCUGUCACUUAUAGAUGGAUCCGCGCUGCAUUAGCUAGUUGGUAAGGUAACGGCUUACCAAGGCAACGAUGCAUAGCCGACCUGAGAGGGUGAUCGGCCACACUGGAACUGAGACACGGUCCAGACUCCUACGGGAGGCAGCAGUAGGGAAUCUUCCGCAAUGGGCGAAAGCCUGACGGAGCAACGCCGCGUGAGUGAUGAAGGUCUUCGGAUCGUAAAAC